rnacentral:rRNA from 1 species
CAGUAGCCGCGGGAAUACGAAGGGUGCAAGCGUUACUCGGAAUUACUGGGCGUAAAGCGUGCGUAGGUGGUGGUUUAAGUCCGUUGUGAAAGCCCUGGGCUCAACCUGGGAAUUGCAGUGGAUACUGGGUCACUAGAGUGUGGUAGAGGAUAGUGGAAUUUCCGGUGUAGCAGUGAAAUGCGUAGAGAUCGGAAGGAACAUCUGUGGCGAAGGCGACUAUCUGGGCCAACACUGACACUGAGGCACGAAAGCGUGGGGAGCAAACAGGAUUAGAUACCCCUGUAGUCCCUGUCUCUUAUAU